rnacentral:rRNA from 1 species
CACGUAGGGCGCGAGCGUUGUCCGGAAUUAUUGGGCGUAAAGAGCUCGUAGGCGGCUCGUUGCGUCGGCUGUGAAAACCCGCAGCUCAACUGUGGGCUUGCAGCCGAUACGGGCGGGCUGGGAUUCGGUAGGGGAGACUGGAAUUCCUGGUGUAGCGGUGAAAUGCGCAGAUAUCAGGAGGAACACCGGUGGCGAAGGCGGGUCUCUGGGCCGAUAUCGACGCUGAGGAGCGAAAGCGUGGGGAGCGAACAGG